rnacentral:rRNA from 1 species
AUUGAACGCUGGCGGCAGGCUUAACACAUGCAAGUCGAACGAGAGGCGGACGGGUGAGUAAUGCUUGGGCAUCUAGCUUAUGGAGGGGGAUAACUACGGGAAACCGUAGCUAAUACUGCUGACCAUAGGAUGAGGCCUAGUGGGAUUAGGUAGUUGGUGAGGUAAAGGCUCACAAAGCCGACGAUCUCUAGCUGGUCUGAGAGGAUGACCGGCCACACUGGGACUGAGACACGGCCCAGACUCCUACGGGAGGCAGCAGGGGGGAAUAUUGCGCAAUGGGGGAAACCUGACGCAGCAAUGCCGCGUGAAUGAAGAAGGCCUUCGGGUUGUAAAAUUCUUUCGGUAGCGAAGCGUUAACUACAGAAAAAGCACCGGCUAACUCCGUGCCAGCCGCCGCGGUAAUAC